rnacentral:rRNA from 1 species
UUUAUGGAGAGUUUGAUCCUGGCUCAGGACGAACGCUGGCGGCGUGCCUAAUACAUGCAAGUCGAGCGAGGCCUUCGGGCCUAGCGGCGGACGGGUGAGUAACACGUGGGUAACCUGCCUGUAAGACUGGGAUAACUUCGGGAAACCGAAGCUAAUACCGGAUAAUAUUUUUGGUUGCAUGACCGAAAAUUGAAAGAUGGCUUUUAGCUAUCACUUACAGAUGGACCCGCGGCGCAUUAGCUAGUUGGUGAGGUAACGGCUCACCAAGGCAACGAUGCGUAGCCGACCUGAGAGGGUGAUCGGCCACACUGGGACUGAGACACGGCCCAGACUCCUACGGGAGGCAGCAGUAGGGAAUCUUCCGCAAUGGACGAAAGUCUGACGGAGCAACGCCGCGUGAGUGAAGAAGGUUUUCGGAUCGUAAAACUCUGUUGUUAGG